GAAAGAGCGUGAGCGUCGCUCCACCAUCCGUCUGGAAGUAGGACUCGCAAGGCCUUGAAGGCGGUUAUUAUUACUCUGAACGCCAAAAGCAGCGGAGGGAGAAUGGAGAGCUGCGAGAGCAGACAGGGCCCGGAGGCCGAGGGCGGUGGAGGAGACGACGAUCUCCUCCCUAUCCGGCGGCUGGAGAUCUCUGACAAAUCCAAGGGCUUUGUCGAACUCCUAGCCCAGCUCAGCCACUGCCCCUCUCUCUCAGACGCUGAUUUCCGCGCCCGCUUCGCCGACCUCGCCGCUCUCGGCGACGACCACGUCAUCUGCGUCGUUGAGGACCGCCGCACCGGCCGGAUCGUCGCCACCGGCAGCGUCUUCAUCGAGAGGAAGUUCCUCAGGGGCUGCGGCAAGGUCGGCCACAUCGAGGACGUCGUCGUCGAUGCCGCCGCCCGCGGCCGCCGACUGGGCCAGCGGGUGGUCCGGUACCUCGUGGAGCACGCCAAGGGUGCCGGGUGCUACAAGGUGAUCCUCGACUGCGAGCGGGAUCGGAAGGCGUUCUACGAGAAGUGCGGCUUCACGGAGAAGAGCGUCCAGAUGACGCUCUACUUUUGAUCCGGCGGAACCUAGGGUUAGCUUCUUUCAUUUCCUCGGAAAAGGAAUUUUCAUGGAAUUUAUUGUUUAUUGCCAAAAAAGUGGUAUCGUGCCAGACAGAGCACUGGAACACAUUGUGAUGUGCCGAUGUUGGAAGCUGAUGCUACUGCUGGAUGAUAUCCAAUUUUUGCUAGCACAAGUGAAAGUUGAUGCUGGCGUGGAUGCCACGAGUUAUCGUGGUUGGCAACGCGCACUUGUGAAGCUUAUUCAAUGCACAGCAGAACUCAUUUAGGAUGGGAAUCCUAUUGCUUUUCGAAAUAUUGCAUGUGUUGUUUCAAUUAGAUCAUUAUAUGCUUCCAUUAAUGGAUUGGACAUCAGAUAAAGGCUGCUCACCACUUGGUGUAGCUUUCUGUUCUGGGUAUUCCUGGUCCCAGGCCACUCAUGGCUCUUGCCUGUUGUGGAAGGAAAGUGCCACUCUCGAACCAGAAGACCCUGUUACCCAUUAUAUUCUUGCUUAUUAAUUUUCUUCUUGCCUUAUAAGACA